GCCGGGUGUGGUGGCGCGUGCCUGUAGUCUCAGUUACUCGGGAGGCUGAGGUGGGAGGAUCGCUUGAGCCCAGGAUUUCUGGGCUGUAGUGCGCCAUGCCGAUCGGGUGUCCACACUAAGUUUGGCAUCAAUAUAGUGACCUUCCAGGAGCGGGGGACCACCAGGUUGCCUAAGGAGGGGUGAACCAGCCCAGGUCAGAAAUGGAGUAGGUCAAAACUCUUGUGCUGAUCAGUAGUGGGAUCGAGCCUAUGAAUAACCACUGCAUUCCAGCCUAGGCAACAUAGCGAGACCCCGUCUCU
rnacentral:SRP_RNA from 1 species